ACGGUGGUGGGUACGGCUACGCCCCCAGUUACAGCCACUCGUACAGCAAGACCUACAGCAAGCCCAGCUACGGAUACGGUCAUGGCAGCUCUGGCUAUGGAAAGAGCUACGGCGGCUACGGCGGCUACGGUAGCGGCUACGGAGGCAGCUACGGCUACAGCAAGCCGAGCUACAGCCAUGGUUACGUCAAGAGCUACGGCUAUUCAGCUCCCAGCUAUGGCUACGGCUAUGGCAACGGAUACGGCAGCGGAUACGGACAUGGCUACUCUGGCUACGGCGGUUACUCUGGCUACGGUCACAGCGGCUACGGUCACGGUGGCUACGGACACGGUGGCUAUGGCUCUGGCUACGGCUAUGGCGGCUACGGCUCUGGCUACGGCUCUGGCUAUGGCCACGGCAACUACGGAUACGGAGGCUAUGGAUACGGCGCCCCGGCGUACUCGUACUCUCGUAGCUACGGCUACUCUGCGCCCUACGGCUACGGUCACUAGACCAGCCCCAUCGGCACUGCGGUCUCCGCGGCGCCGCCCAGUCGCCGGCCUGCAGCCGGUCCGCACCGGGUCACGUGACUCGGAGAGGCCAGCUGUCGCCGCUCGACGUGCUCGCAGACCCCUCCUGGUCGGCGGUCACUCUUCUGACCACCUGGGGUCGGUUCAGGUCCUGACCUGUCCUGACCUGCCAGUAUUGUGCAGGACAGCGGGACACUCGUCCGCGUUAGACCCAGUCUUUCCAGCUUGAUUUAUUUAUGCUCGUGUCGAUUGCAGUGCCUGAGGGCAGUGCAUAACAAUACACGUGUAUU
rnacentral:lncRNA from 1 species